rnacentral:lncRNA from 1 species
UACCUCCCAAAGGGACCACAGGCUAGUCUGUUAAACAGUUUCAUAUAGGUGAAUAUGAUAAUUCAAAACAGUGAGAGAAGCUAUUUGAGCUCCUACAGUCCUCAUUCUGGCCCAUGUGUCCAUUUCAAUAGUGGCCUUCCAGAGAAAAUGCCCAAUUUUGUUAGUCAUUCAAAGAAAUGACAUGCAUUUCAACACAAGUAGUAUCAGAGGGAAAGGAUGAGACAGGAAAGGGUGGGCAGGACACUUGAGAGGUAUCUAAUUACAAUAGUAAAGUAUCAGAUUAUUCAGCCUGUUGUAGAAUGGGGACAGUUGAUGUGCCCACAUUGACAUAAAUAACAAAUAUGAUAACUUUUGAAUAUCAUUUUACAAUAUCUGCAGCACCCUUUUACCCACAAUUUCAUUUGAACCUGGAUUCUAAACUCAGAAUAUUGCCAACCAACACAAGCAUCUCAUUUAAAAACCUAAUGAAAAGUUUUGCAGCUACUUGUCCUUGAACAAUUUAGUCGACAGGGAACCCACAACUUCUGAUGCCAAGUAUUUAAAAGGCACAGUUCUACUAAGUCAGAAGAGUUUUUGUUUUUAGCAGAGCUCUGAUAGCGACAUCAUCCAUAAAUUCCAUUCAUUAGUCUCAGUGUAAGAAAAAGAGAGCCAACCUUUGGAAUUAGGCAUAUAUUCAUCACAACUGCACUUUAGCCACUGAUGGUGGAGAUUUAGUUGACCCGCCCAUGAAAUGCUGAUAAUCCACUGAGGACCCUGCAUUGUUCUGAGUAUUAAAAAAAAAUGAUGAACGGUGAACCUUCUAGAUAAUAUCUCAUUUGAUCCUCACCCAAUGUACAGAACUUUAUGAUGAAUAUCUCCUAUUCUUUAGUGCUGGAGUACACCGGGUUUCCUUUCAGGCUCUAAGCCACUGCUUUAACUGUGAGUCUAUCUGCUUCACGAAGCCUUCUCCCCUCUCAUGUACUGUUUCCAACAUGCUAAAAUCAUGCGAGCAGAUAACAUCAUGCCUUACCCCUGAGGGUCAAUCAAGUGCUGUUCUGCUUUGAGCAAGCCUCGCCAAAGUCAAUGUGAACUCAGACCUGAGAUUUACAGAUGUCAUUUCUCUGGUUCAGGGUCUUUUUACUUUUUUUCUGAAUUCUAUGAAGUUCUUGAUUUUUGGUCUUGUUGUAUACCUGUUAUUUUUUUCUCUACAACCUCUUCUUCCCUCUUCGUAGGAUAUCACCAUUCAUAGCACAGCUGUCUUCUCAGUUACUUGUGCCAGAAACUGGGAAUCACAUUUGCUUUCACUCUUGGCCCAAAUGCCACAUUCAAUCGGUCACUAAGUGCCAUCAAUUCUACCUCAAAUUCUAUCUCAACUCUGCCCCCCUUCUUUCCACUGCCCUGGCCUAGUCCAGACUUGAACUAUCCCUUUGUGGAACUAUUGCAAGGGAUUUGCCAAACGGAUGAUGUCAAAUGAACUGAAAAGCUUAUAAAAUUGAAUGAUAACCCAGACUCUAUUUCAGGAAACCAAGGUCUAUGUAAAAUAUUUAGGAAUAUCUCUAGGCCCAUUGUCUCCUCUUUUACCCUUCUUGAUUUUUAAAGGAGUAAGUUUCAAGGUAUCUGGAAAAUUCUGUUAUGUGGAACCUCUUACUCCCUAACUGUGCUAAGUUAAAAAAAAAAAAGAGGACUAAUAUAGUGUAUUUAUUCAAGAUUGAUUUUUGCAAAAGAUUGUUCCCAUAUGUAGAUUAUGCUGGUGACUCAUGGAGUCUCUCUUUUUGUUCUGGCUGCUUUGAAAAGCCAAGCAAAAGUUCCUUCAAGCCCAGCAGUUAAUUGUCACAGUGAUGUCUGUUUGAUGACUCCAUAUUUAUUUUAAGAGGAACUGCAUCCCGUUGGGCCUGCCAGGAUGAGUUAGCUGCGAAAUGCAUUCCUAAAUAGCUAAAUGAUUCAGCGCAGGAUCCCAUAUAUGAAAUUGACUUUGUAAUGUGGCUGCAUGUCUCUCUGUUGGAAAGUCUAUCUAUUUUGGUUCUGUGCUUUAUUUUAUAAUUCAAUAUUGCAUAUGAAUAGGUAAUGGAGGGAAGCUUUCCUGCCUCACAAAACCCAUAUUACAACCAAUACAUCGUUAAAACUUUGCCCAGGUACUUGGAAGCUUCCUCUGACGAAAACUCAGUUAUAUGGGGCCAAUGUAUCUGAAAACAUUCAGAAUUGCACACUGCAGUUUGCAAAUAACAACUAGGAUGCUCUUGAACAGAGAAACCCCCAAGAGGGUGCUUACCUCCUUUGCAUCAAUAAAGUACAACAGCUUCUUAUCAGAGGCUGACUUUUGCUUACAGCUAGAAUCUGGCUAAACCCAGUUUCUAACCACUUAGAGACUUCAAAUAAUUCCCAAAUUAUACCUUCCUUCAAAGGGAAUAUGCUUUAAAUCAAAUGUUUAAUGUUAGGAAAAUAAUAAUUCACACACUGGCACACCUUAGCAGCCUGUUUUAAGACAAAGAGAAGAGAGAGGCACAGAUUGUGCCUUGGCCCCUGGCUUCCCCACUUCCCCCCAAAGUGCUCAGGAAAUGUGCUUCUUUCUAAAGAGUAAGGGCUUAAUUAGUACUGAACCCUGGAGUGGCUCAACUGGGCAUUUUGUUCAGGAAACAAUAGAUUGAGGAUAAAAAUGUCAGUGUUUUUUCGAGACAGCAUGAGUCCUGGUGAAGUAAGGUUGCUGGCUUGCAGAAAAGGGCUGGAGAACCUACCUGGUUUUCAGCAAAUUCUUUCCAUGUGCUCCAUCUCCAUUUCUACCAAAGGACCCAAAGUCUACAAAGGACCUAUGUAUUCUAUCUGUGGUUCACCGUAUUCUGCAGACUGAUCAUUCUCAGAGGAAAACAAUCCUUUGUAUUGACAAAGAGAGCGAUGUGGGUGGAAUAAGAGAUGCAGCAGCUUCUGGGGACAACCAGGUAGCCUUCUCUACUAGGGGUCCAGAGAGUACCAUCCAACAUUCUAGGUAUCCGUGUAUAUAAGAACCUGUCUUCUCUCCUUAGCAUCUGAAAUGGUGCUGUGUAUUCUCUUUGAGAGAAUCCAGAACAUAGUCAUUCAAAAGAUUUUUCUGAAUUAUGUAGAUUAGGUAAGGAACUCCAGAUGAGAAUGGCUGGUUGAGAGUCAUGAUACUCAAUUUCUAAAUUUGGUACGUCAGAAAUCUGUGAGAUUAUGAGAAAGCCAUUUACUACCCUGGGUAUCAUUUUCUUUAUUUUUAAAAUAAGAGAAGCUAGUGAUUUCUGAGGUGCCUUGUUACUCAAAGAAUCUUAGGUGAAUGAGAAGGGUGGUAUAAUUCUGAGAGGUUAUUUGUAUUAGUGAUGUACUCAGGAGUUUCGAGGCUUCAUACUUUAAAAUUUUGUGCACAUUUUUAUGCUGGAGUAUUUUUUUCCUUAGAUCAAAAUUGAGAAAAAAAAGGAAUAUCAUAGAAUCUAGUCCAGUCUUGCAGCCGACAUUUGAAUUUCUUCUAAAAUACUUUUACUAAAAUAACUAUAUAUUCCAUACUUGAGUGCUUCCAGUUACAGAAUACCCACAAUCAGCACAUUUACUCAUCUCAUCCUUGAAGCACUCUAACUGCUCCACAUUAUGUAAUAUGUUAUUUCCCUCACCUUACAAUAAGACUACAAAAUGAGGUUAUGUUCUUUUUAUACAAAAAAAAAAAAAAAAUCUAUCCCCAAAUGGUCUAGUUACUGGAAACUGACCUCUCUCAGUGUCUCCAAUCUUUUCUUUCAAUAUUGCCUCAUAAGCACCCAGAAUACUCCCUCUGAAAUCUUCCAUGACAACAGAUUUAUCUUGCCACGGAGCAAGUUACCAUGUUUUGGGGAGGAAAGCCCAGUUAACAGCUGGAUUCCAAAUAAGAAUUACAGUACUGGGAGCAUACACAGGGGUCUCCAUGCCAGAAAGAAAAUGUUGUUUGCCACUGUAAACUCCUACACCAAUUGAGAUCAACAUCAGCUGGGGGACAUAGGUUGACAGUGCCUCCAACAUGGCCCCCUGGACAAGUAAUAGGCCUGAAGUUUUCCAGUUCAAUUUGAAUACUUGAGUCUAGUUCUUUUUCAUGAAGGGAUUGCCUGAGAAGAGCCCAUCCAGUCUGUCCUGUUUGUCUCUGCCACCACCUGUGCAAGAGCUUUGGUAAUGGAGGUGGGGAAGACAUUGGGAACUCUUGAUGGCUGUUGGGGAUGGGGGACAUAGGGACUGGGGGAUCCCCUGCUGUUUCUGAGAGGCUUCUCAGUAAGGUUAAGAAGGAUGAUGAUUAAAUUGUGUUUAGAGCUGUCUGGCAGGGGAUGGCAGGCCCAGCCGUCAUUUAAUCUUCUUACAAUACUUUAGGAGAGUGGUACCAGGGUGUUUUCCUUAAUGAGAAAAGUUUUAGAGGUAGCUAUGAAAGACAAAAAGACUAUCAAUGCCCCUUCCUCUCAAGUAACUCACAGAGUCUAAGCUACUGGGUGCUGUGUUGCUUUCUUUCCACUGAUGUAAAAUAAGUGUCCCAUUCCAGUAUCUGACUCAUAUUUUUCCCAGUCUUCCUCUAUUCAUCCCCAGACCUUUUAUUUUGAACAGAUACUU